UUUAUUAGAUAUUCAUUUUCACUCCGUUCAUUUUGCUUUCUAUGAAUUUUCAGCACAAUGUCCACUUUCUAUUUUUUGUAUUCAUUCUUUCAUUUGAAGCCUUUUUAGAUUUAGGUUAACUCUUCUAUCUUUCAUCUUUGUUCCAUACUAUUAGACAACAACUUAGGGCCAUCAAUGAAUCUCGUGCUCAGAAGAGAAAGGUAACCUUAACUGUGUCUUUUUUGCAUUUUAUCCUUUCUAAACAUUCUUAUUUAUUAUGUGAUUCAAUGGUUGGUCUUUAUCAUAGAUAUUGGGCAUAUUUAAUUGGAUGGUUACUUCAGUAUGUAAUUGGGCCAUUGGUUUUGAUAGAUAAUGUUAAUACAGGAAAAUUAGGAGAAUUGAUUUCAAUGACCGUGAAUGCUAUUUUGAUGUUAUUAUGUUGAAGGCUUCUUUGAAAACAUUUGAUGUGUUUUAUUUUUCUUUUAGUUUUUAUCUGGUUUGUGUUUAUUUAUAAAAAAUUUUCAUUCUAGAUGCUCAAAUCGGAGUACAUCUGAACUGGAUAGCUAAUUUGUGAUUUAUUUAUUCGAAUGGCCUUUUCUGGAUGAAAAAAUUGAUUUCUGGGGCUGCCAAGUUGAUGCAUUGUGUGAAAGUAGUUUACAUUGAUGAUUGGUGUGGUUGUAAUUGACGACUGUGCUGCUCCUCUUAGUUUAUUAAUAAUUAUUUGUAAGCCGUUUGGAUGGUCGCUUUAGUAGAGUAUUGGAUGGUUGGUCUAUCUGAUAGAUCUUGCACUUAUUUAUUUGGAUCGUUACUUCAGUAUGUGGUUGGACAGUUGGUCUUCAUAGUUGAUGCUCUGUUUACAUGAAUUAGUUUUUUAUCUUAAGUAAAGAUGGUUACUAUAGGGACAUUUGGAGGUUUGAUCUUAAUAAAUCUUACGAAGCAUAUCAGAUAUUAGAAAUAAGCUAGAAUCUUCAAUGCCAAUAAUUUCUUUUCGGCUUCGAUAAAUCAGUAUUAUCUUCUGAUGCCAUCUAGCUCCAAUAAUUAAGGUUACAUCGAUUGAAAGGUAAGAUUGUGCUAUUAUUUAUAUUAUUUGGCUGCAGGUCACCUGCUUCUUUUGUUAGAGGUAAAAACUUAGAAUUCAGGGGGAUUACUGCGUGAGUAAUUUUUCACGGUGCUCCAACAAACCCAUUUUUACACCGGCUGAACACAAAAUCAGAUGGGUAAAAAGAAAUUAGUCGAGACGUGAUGCUCACCUUGCUAUAUUAACAACUUGUUUACCCACUUGGAACUACAUAAUAAGCACGCUAAGUUGGCUGAGAUUGAGGCAAUUGGAUUUGAUUUCUUGCGGCGGGUACCGCUGUGGCAUGUGAAGCAGAGCAUCAUGCUCCAACUAGCUAGGGCCUAUGACGUGGACUCAAACACUCUCAGGGUCGACGCGGGGGACAUUUGCGUUACCACCGAACUGAUCGGCAGUGUAUUCAGCAUACCUUCUCAAGGUUAGUCGAAGUUAUGUAAGAUGUAAAAAUUCCUAUGCGUUGUUUUUGUUUUUCCUUUGUUGACACUGACUGAUUAUUGUACAAUGUCUCGUUAACGUAGGGGACCCAAUCCCAGAACUGCAGAAAAAAAUGCAUCGCAUUUGGCAAUGAAGAGAGUGUUCUAAAAGAAAACUACAACACAAUUGCGGGACUUUGUCUUUUCCUGUCCAAUGGAGACCGAGCAACAGAGGAUGACCUUUAGACGAUACUUUAUCCUGGUGGUUUUGAAGAUGUUUCUUAGCCCCACAAGCCAGCAGACUAUUUUCCCGUGACACCUCCCUCCAAUAUUGGAUGUAUCGAACCCAAGAAAAUUCCACUGGCCGUAUGAGAUACUAAAGUGGUUUCAAGAUGCAAUAAGGAAAUUCCAAGACCAGAACCGGAAAACAUGCGGCGGGUGCAUGUUCGUGUUGCUGGUGUCGCAAAUAAAUUUCCUAAAUUU